rnacentral:rRNA from 1 species
GAUGAACGCUAGCUACAGGCUUAACACAUGCAAGUCGAGGGGCAUCAGGAACAAAGCUUGCUUUGUUUGCUGGCGACCGGCGCACGGGUGAGUAACGCGUAUCCGACCUACCCAUAACUCGGGCACAGCCGCUCGAAAGAGCGAUUGAUUCCCGAUAUGUCCUUGGAGUAGAUUCAAUGAUGAAAGAUUUAUCGGUUAUGGAUGGGGAUGCGUAAGAUUAGGUAGUAGGCGGGGUAACGGCCCACCUAGCCGACGAUCUUUAGGGUUCGUGAGAGGAAGGUCCCCACCACUGGUACUGAGACACGGACCAGACUCCUA